UACGUAGGGCGCAAGCGUUAUCCGGAAUUAUUGGGCGUAAAGAGCUCGUAGGCGGUUUGUCGCGUCUGCCGUGAAAGUCCGGGGCUCAACUCCGGAUCUGCGGUGGGUACGGGCAGACUAGAGUGAUGUAGGGGAGACUGGAAUUCCUGGUGUAGCGGUGAAAUGCGCAGAUAUCAGGAGGAACACCGGUGGCGAAGGCGGGUCUCUGGGCAUGAUCUGACGCUGAGGAGCGAAAGUGUGGGGAGCGAACAGG
rnacentral:rRNA from 1 species